CAUGCCCGGACCCUGUGUUAGUUUUUAUUGAUUCACUUUCCCUUUCUCCUCAACAAAAGAGUUAUAUAAAAUAGAAAAUUAAUACGAAUAUUUUGCCAACAUAAAAUUAUAAUGAAAGAUAUUGGGCAGCAAGUUAUAGUGUCACAUAGACUUUUCUAAGCAUAGGUAAAUAUGUCAGCACUGGUUUAUAACCUGAAUUUAUUAUUUUUUUCUUUUUAUAACUUUGUAGUCAACAUUAUGUUCAUUUACAACUGUUUUGUGAGUCUACUGAUUGCAAAAGACAACGAAGAACAAAAUGAGAAUUUUAGUAGAGUAGAUAAUAGUCCCAGUUGCUUGGCUGUUUUGAUAGCACGUAUGAAUAAUUCACCAUCCAUAUUUAAUAGCAUAUGUUAUACUCCUUAAUACAUCUAUAACCAUCUACUUCCAAAGGGAAAACUACCCUGCUGUUUGUGGUUUGUUUAGCUUUUCAAUGAAAGCUGAAGAGAACAUUGAAUAUUUCCCCUAAGACCUACUAAAGCCUGAAUAUUACUUUAGCAUAUUAUCCUCCAUUGUGUUUUCUGAAAAGAUUUCCUUGGGAAUGCCAUCAAGAGUUUAUAAAAAUGAUUAUAAAUAUAUUUAAUUUUUAAAUAUUGCUAAUUGAUACUAAUGCUGUUUUUGUAUAACAUUUGAAAUGUGUAUAUGUAAUUAUACAUAUGUAUAUAUAUGGGAUAUGCUAAGUUGGUAUUUAUGUCUGAUAUGAGAAAAUGUCUAGGUAGGUAAUGUUAAGAUGAUAUUUAAACAACUGUCUCAAAAGGCAGUGAAAGCUUCAUGCAUUAUCAUUAUUGUGAGUUAUUGGAAUUUUCCUCAGGCAUUAGAAAAAUUUGAGGUAAAGUAUACUUUGUUAACCUAGAAAGCCUACUAGAUUUUUUUCAGUGAUUCCUGUUUUAUUUCAAUGCAUAUGUAGAUUAUAUAUUUUAGAGAAGUAUGAAAUUGUAGGUGAAGAAUAUAUAAGUUCAAAAUGCUUCUAUUAUUGACAAAAAACUUAAUCACUGGAAACAUUUAUCCCUUUUAUUGGCAUAUCUGACAGACAGUAGACUGCUGCUUUCUUGAAGGAAUAAGGCUGCAGAAGCAUAUAAUUCAACUGAAACAGAUUUAUCCUAUCAGGAAAACUAAAUAGCAUCAAAUACCCUUGACUUUACAUAGUACAAUGACAACAACCUUGACUAAACACAGAUCAUUUGCUUCACUGAAAGGAAUAGUCCUAAGUAUUAGUAUACGAAAUCCUAUAUCUUACUCCACAUGAUAUAAACUAGCUGUAGAUCUAGAAUAAUAGGUUGUGCAGGGAAUUCAGCAAAGAGAUAACUCAGUUUCUUUACUUUAUAGAUGGGAAUAUUUAAGUCCCAUAGAGGUUAAAUUAUUUUCCUCAGAUGAAGUAGCUGGCUAGUGGCUGAGUUGGGGCUAUGGUGCAAGACCUGUGAUUCCAGUCUAGUCCAGCAUUAUUUUGCAUUGCAUUAUAAUUAUUUUUUAAAUUAACUUUAAUAACUAGUAAUUUUUCUUUAACCUUCCAAACAUAACUAUUUUUCUUUAUAGGAACUUUGUUUCACUUUUAAGAACUACUACAGUAAGUACAAUACUUAUGACAAUUUGGGGGAACUUGCUCUGUGACGUUUAUAUAAAAUAUGUUGAUAACCUUGUAUGUUAGUCAUUUGUUUUAGUAGUUAAUUCUGGAAAGCAACUCAUACAGAAUUUAGAAAAGGAUUUGCACCAUAAAUAUUAGUAGAGUUGAUUACAACACACAGGGAGGUUUUAUAGGGAUAGAGCAAUUAUACUGAAAUAUACUUGGAUGAUAAAACAUGAAUAUAAAAUGAAAGUCUUUAAUAUGAAUAUUUGCUUUAGAAAAAUACAAUUAUAGCAGCAUUUCUGCAUAAUAGGCAAAGAAAAGUGAUAGUUCUUUUGAACUAUGAUACAUGAUCCAAAAGAGCUUUAUAUUUUCAAUUUAUGGUGCAAUUUUUCUGGUUGGCAGAAAAUGUAAUUAGCAGGCACCAUUGUGCUAUUUUUUAUUUAGUAAAACAACUUUACUUUUUUAAGGGACAGCUGGCGGUAUGUCUGUAAAGCAUUAUGAUAUGAAACUUAUGGUUUUCUAGUUAUGCUGUUUUGUAAUUAUAUGAAGUUCAGUCAAUCAACCUUUUAGUGAUAGAAUUGGUGAGUAUUAGUGAGCCUUAAUCUCAUGUCAAGAUUUUCCUUCGGAGAAGAAUUGAUGAAUACCAUGCCCUGGUGUUUUUCGUCUCUUCUUCCUAGAAUAUUUAACAAGUACAGCUUAGGUAAAAUAAAAGCCUUCAAGUGGCGAGAGAAGUGAUGUCACCAAGAGAAAUUUGCAGUUUGAGAGGAUGUGGAGGAAAGAAGUCUGUGAAUCAGUGGCAACUGCAUAUUUGUGAGACCAGAUUUCCAUGGGAUUAUUGUCAGAUCAGCAUGUCUGGAGCCAAACUUUGAAAAGUGGCAGAUAAGGUUAAAAAAAAAAAAGCAAGCAGAUGAUAGAAAGUAUGCCAAAUUAAGGGAUUUUCCUUCUGAGCUGUAUAUGAGAAGAAGUCACUAAGGCAUUCGAGCAAGGAACUAUUGUAAAGUGGAGCACCUAACAAGAUAUAUUUGUGUUUACUUUAAUCAUUGGAACCACCUUAACCAAUCCUUUGCUGGGUGAAGGAAGAUCAAAUUGGCGGGAAAAAACCCUUAAUGAUCUUCUAAAUCUUUAGUUUUACUUUUGUUUAUUGAACCUAAAGGUAGGCUUCAAAAAUCCAUUUUAUCAAAUCUGUUUCCACUUUUCAACAGCAAUAAGUCAGUGGAGUUGUCUGUAUUAGAUACACAGUAAUCAAGAAUAGUUUAGGCUUAGGUAAUCUACUUGUAGUACUUGCAUGUUUUAGAUUCUCUGCAACAAACUGUGAGGUAUUUUCUCUCUCAGUAACCAAGUAUAUGAAAUAACACCAAAUCCUGACAAGAAUGUAGUUAUGUGGAACAAGAUUAAGUCUUUAAAUACACUGUACAAAUAUUUGGUUCUAGCAUACUAGGCUUCGAAAUCAGGAACCAUAGACAGUGCUAUUGAUCAGGCAAUAUUUGUCUUUAACUCAUGCCUUUACCCUUUUCCAGGCAGUUUCAUAGAUCUGGGAGAGGUUGAGGGGAAUAAGGGCUGGUACUGUCCCUCAAUUCAUACCAUACAGAUAACUACUUACCAUGCCUUUGUGUAGAGUCAGUCUUACAUUCUGACAAGGUGAUAUUUUGUUCUAAAUAUUUAGUAAUAAGUUUAGGCUUUAGCAUAUUACUAUAAUAAUCAUGUAGUAGCAUGUAUUGUUUAAUAAUGUUUUUGCUAGUAUGGAAUUAAAAUAUCCCAGACUAUUUUUCUUAUGAACCAUGAGGAAACCAGUGUUUCAUGGAAAUAAACACUGGUCUAAAAGUUCAUAGUGAUCAUUCUAGGACUGACUGCCUUACAAAUGCGUGUAAAUUUCUUCACCUCCUGAGCCUCAGUACUACAUUUUAAAACUGGAGGUAAUAUUAGUCUCACCUCCACCCCAGUGUUACUGUAAAAAUUAAUGAGAUCAUAUGCAUGAAUAGGAGUCAUUAUUUUUCACUUUUAUAAGAAAACUUGUUUUCCAUUUAUUUGGUAAAGAACCUUGGAUAUCCAUCUUAUAAGAUAUGAAAAUCACCAACAUGUUUAACACAAACUACUGGAAAAAUACAAUGUGACUUACAUAUGUAGUAAUAUACAAAAUAUAAUAUGACUUACACAUAGUAACACACAUAAUGUGACUUAAACAUAGUAGCCCCUGGGUUUUUGUAUCAUUCAUUUGUUCACUCAACAAGUAUUUAUCAAUACUGUGUAGUAAUUAUACCUUACUGUGUUCUAGUGUUAUGGAUACAGCAUUAAAUUUAAAAAGACAACAAUGUUGGUAGUCAUGGAGCUUGUCUUUUUGUAGGGGGAAAGCAGACUUAAUAUAAAUAUUUUAAAGAAUCAGAUAGAAAAUCAUACAUUAACCCUGAAUAAAUGUUAUCAUUUUAUUUCAUUAGCAUAAUAAACACUAUCUACUAAGGGAAAAAUGUGUAUUUUUACCUUCCUAAUUACCAAGGAUGUAUAAUAAGUCUAAGUUCACCAAAGCUAAAAAAUGAAAACUGUUUCUUUUGAUUUUUGGCUAAAAAUUAUGUUCAGAUAGAUGUCAACUAUAAAGGUAUGAGUCUUCAUGUUUUUCCCUCUAUUUAGAUUGGAUUUGAAAAAUGAAUAUAAAGAUGCUCUAAGUAGACAUAAUCAAAACGUAAAAUAUUUAAGCAUCAUUAGUACUUCGAAUAGUAAUUUUAUAGUAACUUCUAGUCUCCUUAUAACCAUCCUGCCUUGUAUUUAACCAAAUUAUUCUGACUUUAAUCAUUAUUACAGAAUAUAAAUAAUGCUUAUAAAAAGUGUUAAAAAUCUUCUCUGGUAGUAGAAGUAUAACUUCCAUAGUUUAUGACUUGCAAAGUCAAUGCAAUAUUUUGAUAGGUUACAUAGGCAGAGAAUGUGAAAGAGGUCAUGAGUUGUGGUUUUUAAAACAAUUUUUUUUUCAUUGUAUAGGAAAAUAUCUUUAUCAGAAGAAGAAAACAGUGUUGUUAUAAACUUCUUAAAGAUUUUCAUGCAAAAGGUGAAGAUGAAUUUGGUGUGAGGUUUAUCUGAGAGAUCAUCAAGAGAAUUAUUUUCACUUUUGGGGCUUGUUCUAGUUAAUAUAUUGAUUGAUAGAUGGAUAGGUUCAUUAGUUUUGCAGGAACCUGAUUUCCAAUUUUGGUUUUGCCAUAGCGAUUUAGGCCGCUUUUCCUCUCUGGGCUUGUGUUUCCUCAUCUAAAACAAACUGGUCAGCCCAAAUUAUGGCUAAAUUAUUUUAUUUAGGUUCUCAGAUUCACAAAUAUAUACUUUCUAUAAUGCUUCUAUUUAAUUUUUGAAAAUUUUUAUGUUAUUGCAUUUCUGAUAUGGAUGUAAAAAGAUAGUAGGUGAGGUUGAAAAAAGACUACAGGGGAUGAAUGUACAAAAAGCAUACAAAUGAAAUUAUUGGUGUUUUCUUUAUAAUGCUGAGGGUCUAAGGAGGAUCUGGCAAGUAAUAAGCAAGAGAAGCUGCAUAGUGUUUUCAGAGAUGAUUAACAUUUAGAAAAAUUCAAUUCUGGUUAGAAUAAAUUUCUCUAAAAUAACCAUAGUUUUAAUGGAAAAUAUAAAAAGAUUGCUCUUUUGAGUAAAUGACCACUAGAAUUAAUUUUUUUAACACAAACCUACUUCUAGAAUACCCCCAUUUUGCUGUUUUUCAAAUGUCAAGUGCCAAAAUGUCAUAUAUAUUCAGGGAAGAGGGUUUCCUCCUUGAACAAGGAGAUGAUACACAAUCAGCAUUAUUUUGUGAGUAAAAAUUCUCAUGACAGUCAUCCGAGACAGAUACUGUCUUCGAAGUGACAAUAGCUACAGAACCUUGAAAAGUGGAAGUAAGGAACUUUAUUUUGCAUGAGAAUUCUCUAAGAAGAUUUGAAGAAGUGAUGUAGAUCAGUUAAUUGUUCUACUGUGAAAAUCCAUUCAUUUAAAACACAGAGAGCAUCCAAAUAGGCACUUUUGUUUCCCUCACACUGAUUCAUUCAUUUUUUUCUUGAGAAUAUGGUAGUGUUUUGAAGCACUUGUGUAGAAGCUGGAUCCAUGAAAGUACCAUUUUGCCAACUAUGAUAACAUAGUGUUAGAAUUUUCUUGGUGAACUUACUGAUUUACUGUGUUUUGUAAUCCAGUUGUUGAAGAGUCAAAGAAAUUUUCUUAGGGGAUGUUGAAAUGACUAUCUAGGAUUCUCCUGGCAAGGAGUAUUCUUCUGUAAAUGUCUCAUUAUCUAAGUAUGUGGUAUGAUUUUAAAGACUUCAGCAAUACUUCUAUGACAACCAUUGUGGAUUAUGAAAUCCCACCAUUAGCAUAUUUUCUAAGGUUAGGCAAGUAUUUUCUUAGCAGCGCGAUACAAAAUAAAGAUGCUAUAGAUUAUCAAUUUUGAAAAUAUGACAUUUCUUGCUUCUGAGAGAGAAGCAUCCAGGUCCAGCAUCUUAGUAUAGUUAUCAGAGAAAGAAAAACGUUAAAGUGCUAAUGAUAUUUUUAAAUGACUAUAACUGUUAUUUGAAUAUUAAUAAGAAUCUAAUUAAGAGUAUGUUCAGCAAUAUGCUAGUCUCAUAAAAAGACACGGAGAAGGAUGCAACAUGGUCUUUAUAAGUCAUUUUUAGUCUUUACAGAAGAUUAAAACAUACAGAGAUAUAUAAUAAACAUAAGCACUGAAUAAUUAAGUAUUUAGAAUUUACUACAUAUUAUGCAACAUACUGCCCUAUAUUAAACAUCUUCCUUGAGCCAUCUCAUUCAGUCAUCAACAGGGUCCUAUAAGUGGGAUUACUAAUACCUCCAGUUUGCAUAUGAAAAAACAAAGAUACAGAAAAUUUAAGAAACUUCUCCAAAGACAUGAAGCCCACAGAUAUUAGUGAAAGAGUCAAACCCUCGGCAGUUUGCCUACAGUCUGUGCUCUUAACCUCUUUAUGAGGCUGAAUUCAUGAAGGAGUAUAGUCCAGACUACAAUUGUCAUAGGGGUUCAAAGGAGGUAGAGUGGUUAAGAAAAUCAUACUAAAAAAAAAAAAAGGGACUUUAACUCCACUCAGAAAUGUGUGUACAAUAGAUAAAUGAAGAAGUACAUGGGGGGGUGUUAAUAGGAAACAAUUUUCCUGAAGAGAGGCAUUAUUGUAAGAUAAAUGUUGAUAAAAGAUACCAUGGUCAUACAGAUUUUAAUGUUUUUUUUUAAUUAGGUUACUAGAAGUACUUCUCCCUAUUGGUAUUUGGCCUGCUCCUGGGUUUGACUCUUAUAACAAAGAGACCAAAAGCACAACUAUAGCACAGUAGCCUUAGGAAAGUGAUGAUGAUGACAGCAACAACAACAACAAAAUUCUCAUUUUAAUGCAGGUAUUGUACUAGGUCGUUUACAUGAAAUUCUUUUUGAAUAUGAUGGAGGGAAUAACAGACAUGCAUGUGUGCAUGAUACACACACACAC